UUAUUAACUACCCAUCCUUAAUCUAGAAAACUACAAGAGUAACAUUAACCAACAUUGACCCAGUUAACUCCCACUAGAGUUACAUUCAACUCCCUGGCAGUUCCAGACAAAAUCAUUCUGUGCUAGAGGCCUUAGCGACGCCUACGUUUUGCUAAUUAAUAACGGCGGGCACGAGUUCCCUCAUUCAAAAUAAUCCAUAUUCAUCAAACGCUUAAAACGAAGUCCUUGUUCACCCUGCAGCCUUGUGUCUGCUAUCCAGAUGGACUCAUUACAACGAUUCCUACACAGCUGCCAGGCAUCUGCAGAUGAAAGGAAGGGGCUGACGGAGAAUUGCCAUAUGACCAAUCGAUACUGAGAUGACAGUAGCAGGAUGUUAUGCGUGUUGCUGUCAGACACGGAAGCAGCGCGUCAGCACAGCGGGCUUUUCCAGGGGAUGAACCCACGAGAAUGGAGGGUUCCGGAGAGCAUGUGCACUGUGUUGGUGCACCUUACGAGAGAAUAAGACCAGCAAGCAAGGGAACACAUUUCUGUCACUAACAAAGUGGAUGGUGAACAAAGGUGGUGGCCAGGUUUUGGAGCAGCACCUGGGUUUUGCAGAUGGCUAUAUAUUUUUCCCAAAUAUGUUUCUGUUGCCUUAAGAUUCUUUGUGAGGAUAAAUCCAGAUUAUAACAACAUAAUAUACUCCAAAAGGUCAUAAGACAGGAGAAAUGGUGAAGAUGCACUGUUUCAGCAUUGGAAGACUAUAUUUUUAAGUGUUAUAUGUGUAAUGUUUUAAAUAAAGAAUUUGAAAUAUUGUAA